GGUGGGAGACGCAGUAGGCUAAUGGUUAGCGUGUUGGACUCCGGAUCGAGCGGUUCAGGUUCGAGCCCUGGCCCACUG